CAAAUCACUUCAGUGCAGUUCU
rnacentral:miRNA from 2 species